AACAUGGGAAGUAGGCAUGUACAAUCUGGCACUGGAGUGAAGGAAACAUGAUAGUUAAAUAGUGUGAGAAACAAUUAACACAGAAGUCAGAACAUGCAUGAAAACAGAAACCCGUUGACAGCAAGCGAAGCCACAGAAACAUAAGCAGAGCAGAUAUCAAAAUAAGAGCAAGAGAAGAGACUAACGCAGAGACGAGUGUGACAAUUAAUCAACAAAGAGAAGUAUUACACUCAAGGGGCAUGAGAAAUAAAUAUAAUAGAAUCUAAAGAGUCAGAACACAAACAUCAGAGAUGUGAACC